GACGAACGCUGGCGGCGUGCCUAAUACAUGCAAGUCGAACGCUUCUUUCCUCCCGAGUGCUUGCCCUCAAUUGGAAAGAGGAGUGGCGGACGGGUGAGUAACACGUGGGUAACCUACCCAUCAGAGGGGGAUAACACUUGGAAACAGGUGCUAAUACCGCAUAACAGUUUAUGCCGCAUGGCAUAAGAGUGAAAGGCGCUUUCGGGUGUCGUUGAUGGAUGGACCCGCGGUGCAUUAGCUAGUUGGUGAGGUAACGGCUCACCAAGGCCACGAUGCAUAGCCGACCUGAGAGGGUGAUCGGCCACACUGGGACUGAGACACGGCCCAGACUCCUACGGGAGGCAACAGUAGGGAAUCUUCGGCAAUGGACGAAAGUCUGACCGAGCAACGCCGCGUGAGUGAAGAAGGUUUUCGGAUCGUAAAACUCUGUUGUUAGAGAAGAACAAGGACGUUAGUAACUGAACGUCCCCUGACGGUAUCUAACCAGAAAGCCACGGCUAACUACGUG
rnacentral:rRNA from 1 species